UAUAUCGUGAAACUGCGAAUGGCUCAUUAAAUCAGUUAUCGUUUAUUUGAUAGUACCUUACUACUUGGAUAACCGUGGUAAUUCUAGAGCUAAUACAUGCUAAAAACCUCGACUUCGGAAGGGGUGUAUUUAUUAGAUAAAAAACCAAUGCCCUUCGGGGCUCCCUGGUGAUUCAUAAUAACUUAACGAAUCGCAUGGCCUUGUGCCGGCGAUGGUUCAUUCAAAUUUCUGCCCUAUCAACUUUCGAUUGUUGGGUCUUGGCCAACAAUGGUUUCAACGGGUAACGGGGAAUUAGGGUUCUAUUCCGGAGAGGGAGCCUGAGAAACGGCUACCACAUCCAAGGAAGGCAGCAGGCGCGCAAAUUACCCAAUCCUGAUACAGGGAGGUAGUGACAAUAAAUACUGAUACAGGGCUCUUUUGGGUCUUGUAAUUGGAAUGAGUACAAUUUAAAUCCCUUAACGAGGAACAAUUGGAGGGCAAGUCUGGUGCCAGCAGCCGCGGUAAUUCCAGCUCCAAUAGCGUAUAUUAAAGUUGUUGCAGUUAAAAAGCUCGUAGUUGAACCUUGGGCCUGGCUGGCCGGUCUGCCUCACCGCGUGCACUGGUCCGGCCGGGCCUUUCCUCCUGGGGAGCCGCAUGUCCUUCACUGGGUGUGUCGGGGAACCAGGACUUUUACUUUGAAAAAAUUAGAGUGUUCAAAGCAGGCCUAUGCUCGAAUACAUUAGCAUGGAAUAAUAGAAUAGGACGUGUGGUUCUAUUUUGUUGGUUUCUAGGACCGCCGUAAUGAUUAAUAGGGACAGUUGGGGGCAUCAGUAUUUAAUUGUCAGAGGUGAAAUUCUUGGAUUUAUUAAAGACUAACUACUGCGAAAGCAUUUGCCAAAGAUGUUUUCAUUAAUCAGUGAACGAAAGUUAGGGGAUCGAAGACGAUUUUAGUAGUAUCUGGUCGUCUAAAGCAUAGCAAGCAUAUGCUAGUCUGAGUUUUCAGGCAACACCGUCAAAUUGUCGGGGACCUCCUAAAGGCUUUACCACGCCCUGCCUCCAGAAA
rnacentral:rRNA from 1 species